GCGCUCCCGGCAGAGGCGGAGGCGAGCGCCGAGUGAUCGCUUCCAAGCCGGUUGAGUCCUACCGGCUUCCGUCCCAGCUGGGAGGCUUUUCUCAACAGCCGCAAGGACUAGAAACUUCCUUUUCUUUUAUAUGAAAGCUGAUAUUCCCAUGGAAACUCAUGACUCCAGGAGCUGGAACUUUAAGAAAAACACCAAGUAUCAUGACUCACGAUAAAAUUGUGAGUUGGCGACUCUCUUGGGAACAUUGAUGGAGGACUGCAAGUGGUUUCCUUUGCAAAUUCCUGAUCACUUCGGAUUACAUCUACUUGGGCUGUCUUGUAAAUAACAUUUCUCCAGGAGUCCCGGUACAAUUUAUAAAAACAACAAGGAGCCCAAUGGCACCUUAAAGA